AAAUUGAAGAGUUUGAUCAUGGCUCAGAUUGAACGCUGGCGGCAGGCCUAACACAUGCAAGUCGAACGGUAACAGGAAGCAGCUUGCUGCUUCGCUGACGAGUGGCGGACGGGUGAGUAAUGUCUGGGAAACUGCCUGAUGGAGGGGGAUAACUACUGGAAACGGUAGCUAAUACCGCAUAACGUCGCAAGACCAAAGAGGGGGACCUUCGG
rnacentral:rRNA from 4 species